rnacentral:rRNA from 1 species
UCGCCAUGGACUUGUCCAUGGUCGUGAUGGCGUGCCUUUUGAAGAAUGAGCCAACGAGUUACGGUGUGUGGCAAGGUUAAACCCCGUGAGGGGAAGCCGGAGCGAAAGCGAGUCUGAACAGGGCGUUCAGUCGCAUGCUGUAGACCCGAAGCCGGGUGAUCUAUCCAUGGGCAGUGUGAAGCGGGGGUAAGACUCCGUGGAGGCGCGAACCGACCUCGGUUGAAAACGGGGCGGAUGACCUGUGGAUAGGGGUGAAAGGCCAAGCAAACCCGGUGAUAGCUGGUUCUCCGCGAAAUGUAUUUAGGUACAGCGUCGCAUGUUCAUCGAUGGAGGUAGAGCACUGAAUAGGCUAGGGGGCCCACAAGCUUACUGACCCUAAUCAAACUCCGAAUGCCAUCGAUCUAGAGUGCGGCAGUGAGACCCCGGGGGAUGAGCUUCGGGGUCGAAAGGGAAACAGCCCAGACCGUCGGCUAAGG